CUACGUGCCAGCAGCCGCGGUAAUACGGAAGGUCCAGGCGUUAUCCGGAUUUAUUGGGUUUAAAGGGUGCGUAGGCCGUUUGAUAAGCGUGCUGUGAAAUAUAGUGGCUCAACCUCUAUCGUGCAGCGCGAACUGUUGAACUUGAGUGCGUAGUAGGUAGGCGGAAUUCGUGGUGUAGCGGUGAAAUGCUUAGAUAUCACGAAGAACUCCGAUUGCGAAGGCAGCUGACGGGAGCGCAACUGACGCUUAAGCUCGAAGGUGCGGGUAUCAAACAGGAUUAGAUACCCUGGUAGUCCGCACAGUAAACGAUGGAUGCCCGCUGUUGGUACNUGGUAUCAGCGGCUAAGCGAAAGCAUUAAGCAUCCCACCUGGGGAGUACGCCGGCAACGGUGAAACUCAAAGGAAUUGACGGGGGCCCGCACAAGCGGAGGAACAUGUGGUUUAAUUCGAUGAUACGCGAGGAACCUUACCCGGGCUUGAA
rnacentral:rRNA from 1 species